GAUGAACGCUAGCGGCAGGCUUAACACAUGCAAGUCGAGGGGUAUAGUUCUUCGGAACUAGAGACCGGCGCACGGGUGCGUAACGCGUAUGCAAUCUACCUUUUACAGAGGGAUAGCCCAGAGAAAUUUGGAUUAAUACCUCAUAGUAUUAUAGAAUGGCAUCAUUUUAUAAUUAAAGUCACAACGGUAAAAGAUGAGCAUGCGUCCCAUUAGCUAGUUGGUAAGGUAACGGCUUACCAAGGCUACGAUGGGUAGGGGUCCUGAGAGGGAGAUCCCCCACACUGGUACUGAGACACGGACCAG
rnacentral:rRNA from 1 species